rnacentral:tRNA from 1 species
GAUAUGAUGCCUGAGAAAAGGUUUGUUUUGAUAGGACAACUUAUGUAGCCCACCCUACUCAUAUUA